rnacentral:rRNA from 1 species
AGCGAACGCUGGCGGCGUGCUUAACACAUGCAAGUCGAGCGAAGGUGUUUCAAGGGUAACCUUGAGAUACACUUAGCGGCGGACGGGUGAGUAAUACGUGGAUAACUUACCUCUAGGCCUGGGAUAACCCCGGGAAACUGGGGCUAAUACCUGAUAAGACCACAUUGUCUACGGACAAAGGGGUAAAAGGUGGCUGUGCAAACAGCUAUCGCCAAAGGAUAGGUUCACGUCCCAUCAGGCAGUGGUGAGGUAAUGGCUCACCAAACCAAAGACGGGUAGCCGGCCUUGGCGGGUGAACGGCCACACGGGGACUGAGACACGGCCCCGACUCCUACGGGAGGCAGCAGUGGGGAAUAUUGGGCAAUGGGCGCAAGCCUGA